rnacentral:rRNA from 1 species
GACGAACGCUGGCGGCGUGCUUAACACAUGCAAGUCGAACGGAAAGGCCCUGCUUUUGUGGGGUGCUCGAGUGGCGAACGGGUGAGUAACACGUGAGUAACCUGCCCUUGACUUUGGGAUAACUUCAGGAAACUGGGGCUAAUACCGGAUAGGAGCUCCUGCUGCAUGGUGGGGGUUGGAAAGUUUCGGCGGUUGGGGAUGGACUCGCGGCUUAUCAGCUUGUUGGUGGGGUAGUGGCUUACCAAGGCUUUGACGGGUAGCCGGCCUGAGAGGGUGACCGGCCACAUUGGGACUGGGAUACGGCCCAGACUCCAACGGGAGGCAGCAGUGGGGAAUAUUGCACAAUGGGCGGAAGCCUGAUGCAGCAACGCCGCGUGCGGGAUGACGGCCUUCGGGUUGUAAACCGCUUUCGCCUGUGACGAAGCGUGAGUGACGGUAAUGGGUAAAGAAGCACCGGCUAACUACGUG